rnacentral:misc_RNA from 1 species
GAUGAAGAACGCAGCAAAAUGCGAUAAGUAAUGUGAAUUGCAGAAUUCAGUGAAUCAUCGAAUCUUUGAACGCACAUUGCGCCCGCUGGUAUUCCGGCGGGCAUGCCUGUUCGAGCGUCGUUUCAACCCUCAAGCCCCCGGGUUUGGUGUUGGGGAUCGGCUCUGCCCUUCUGGGCGGUGCCGCCCCCGAAAUACAUUGGCGGUCUCGCUGCAGCCUCCAUUGCGUAGUAGCUAACACCUCGCAACUGGAACGCGGCGCGGCCAUGCCGUAAAACCCCAACUUCUGAAUGUUGACCUCGGAUCAGGUAGGAAUACCCGCUGAACUUAAGCAUAUCAAUAAGCGGAGGA